CCCUUAGAUGUUCUGGGCUGCACGCGCGCUACACUGACGCACGCAACAGGUGCCUGCUCCGAGAGGACUGGGUAAUCAUUUGAGUGUGCGUCGUGAUGGGGAUAGAAUAUUGUAAUUAUUACUCUUCAACGAGGAAUUCCUAGUAAGCGCAAGUCAGCAGCUUGCGCUGAUUACGUCCCUGCCCUUUGUACACACCGCCCGUCGCUCCUACCGAUGGGUGAUCCGGUGAAUUAUUCGGACUGUAACGUGUUCAGUUCCUGGAUGCAGUUAUGGGAAGUUUUGUGAACCUUACCACUUAGAGGAAGGAGAAGUCGUAACA
rnacentral:rRNA from 1 species